rnacentral:rRNA from 1 species
CCUACGGGUGGCAGCAGUGAGGAAUAUUGGUCAAUGGACGAGAGUCUGAACCAGCCAAGUAGCGUGAAGGAUGACUACCCUAUGGGUUGUAAACUUCUUUUAUAUGGGAAUAAAACGUUCCACGUGUGGGAUUUUGUAUGUACCAUAUGAAUAAGGAUCGGCUAACUCCGUGCCAGCAGCCGCGGUAAUACGGGGGAUCCGAGCGUUAUCCGGAUUUAUUGGGUUUAAAGGGAGCGUAGGUGGAUUGUUAAGUCAGUUGUGAAAGUUUGCGGCUCAACCGUAAAAUUGCAGUUGAAACUGGCAGUCUUGAGUACAGUAGAGGUGGGCGGAAUUCGUGGUGUAGCGGUGAAAUGCUUAGAUAUCACGAAGAACUCCGAUUGCGAAGGCAGUUCACUGGACUGCAACUGACACUGAGGCUCGAAAGUGUGGGUAUCAAACAGGAUUAGAUACCCCGGUAGUC